CACUCUAAGGCUUCUGACUCAGGAGAACCGGAGUGAAGGAUAGAAUUCUGGUUUUUUUUUUUGUUUUGUUUUGUUUUUGUUUUUUUGCGGGGGGGGGGCUGCUCUCUGAAAUAGUUCUAUAUUCAGCACCAUGUGAGGGUCACUGUGAGAUCUGUAAAUGGUAAGCCAACUCGUAAUAGUAGGAGGCUGUGAGUAAGAUCAACUAUUUUUGUGUAAAAGGAUCCGUUAGAAGCUGGUGGUGUGCCAUUCUUAAACGCACCAUCAAAGUUCCCUGCGCAAAGAAGUCCCGUGCAGUUUGUUUGUAGGGUGAGGGACAUUUUAGAGAAAGUCCUCUCCAUUUGUUCACAAACACAGACUUUUACUGGCUGGCUUUCCUCAUAUUAAGGAGUAAUUAGGGAGAGGUUUAGACUUCACAGUAUACAGACUUGAACAGCCUACAGACAUGCUCGCUUUACACGAGUCCCUUCUUAAUAAUUGUCUGAGUUUACAUAAAUGAAGCUGAGCAUUUAAUAAGUAAAUUGGCAAGGUAGGACAUCACCUACACCUUUGGGAACAUUGUUACUAACACAGGACCAUAGGUAUUAAGAGUUUCAAAGGCUAAAAGUGACCCUUUAAAAGCCAACAGGUUUAACCAUUCAGUGGGCACCACCAUGGAAUGCAGCUUGACUUCAUCAAAGGCAGAGCAGAGCUUCUAAAGGAGACAAUGCUGGUGAGUCCAGUGUAGUGAUUCAGGAGAGACCUGAGAGAUGGUGUGAAGAUAAGAGCUUCCGCUUGGAAGAAGGCACAGCUAACCCGGCUUUCUAGUGAGCUGUGGCUUUGGUGGUCUAUCUCAAAGUGUGCUCUCCACAGUCUCCCUUUCACAAGCUAACAAAGCUCUGUGGUGACAGAAAUGAUCACAAAGUCAAUUCAAGGUUUCCCCGAAGAAGUUUGCAAUUUGAGAAUGGAGCGUCUGAUCCUGAAAGCCAUGAUCCCAUGGGCUUAAGAGAAAUGAAACAGUUCCAAAGAUUCUGGACUCAUCUGUGUGGCCUUGAAACCAUCUAUCAUGAAACCAUGACAACAGAUAACUGA
rnacentral:lncRNA from 1 species